rnacentral:rRNA from 1 species
UACGUAGGGGGCUAGCGUUGUCCGGAAUCAUUGGGCGUAAAGAGCGCGUAGGCGGCUAGAUAAGUCCGGUGUGAAAGUCACAGGCUCAACCUGUGAAUGCCGCUGGAAACUGUCUGGCUAGAGUCCGGAAGGGGCGAGUGGAAUUCCUGGUGUAGCGGUGAAAUGCGCAGAUAUCAGGAGGAACACCAAUGGCGAAGGCAGCUCGCUGGGACGGUACUGACGCUGAGGCGCGAAAGCGUGGGGAGCAAGCAGG